rnacentral:rRNA from 1 species
UACGGAGGGUGCAAGCGUUAUCCGGAUUCACUGGGUUUAAAGGGUGCGUAGGAGGGCAGGUAAGUCAGUGGUGAAAUCUCCGAGCUUAACUUGGAAACUGCCGUUGAUACUAUCUGCCUUGAAUAUUGUGGAGGUGAGCGGAAUAUGUCAUGUAGCGGUGAAAUGCUUAGAUAUGACAUAGAGCACCAAUUGCGAAGGCAGCUCGCUACACAUAUAUUGACUCUGAGGCACGAAAGCGUGGGGAUCAAACAGG